ensembl:lncRNA
AUGGACAAAGAAAAUUGUUGUUUUUUUUUUUUUCAGGGAAUGGUUCUAAGAAGCAUUUAUAUGAUUUUGACCAGAAACGUUAUCAUAAGACAAUUGGAUCUUGAUAAACACAGGAAAAUCUACAUGACUCUCACUUAUCCCCACUACUUCUAUCUACAAAAUACUGGAUUCAGCCUCAUCCUCCUGCGUCUCUGGGUAUAUCGGACUGCCUUUGGAUUUCAGUAGAGUGAUACUGGAGCCAAGUCAUGUGGCUCUAGCUAGGCCCACUCUUAGCAGGUCUUUUACAGGGGCUUGGGUUGGCAUCAUUCUUGCUGCAUCACUGAGAGAAUUGAAUUGCCUCCAGGAACACAGUGGAGCAGGACGUGUGCCAUGACAUGAGGUCACUUCCAGGUCUGUAGCCAAGAUUACAGAUGGUGGGCUCAGUGUCAGGGGCAGAGAUGGAUGUGACUUCUGCUGGAUCCCUAAGAAGGUCUCACUAAGUAUCUCCCUGGGCAAGUAUGUGGCUAAGCAGGACUUCCCUUGAAAUCAUAUUAGAGAAGCUGAACUAGGUCACAGGGCUGCUUCAGACUCUGCCGUUGGGUUUAAGGCCAGUAGGCCUCUUGGCAGGGGUUACAACAGGCAUGUUGCCUCUUGCAUCCAUGGUUGAGCAAGCCUGCAUUUGGACCCCAGUGGAGCAUGGCUGGAACCAAGUCAUAGGGUGAUUUCAGAGUCCAUAGCCAAACCAAGGUUAACAGGCCUGGUUCUGGAGCCACAGGAUUUCUGGGGCCCUGAUUUGCAGGACUGAUUCUGUUCCACAGUAGAGUAAGGCUGGUGCUUGGUCACAGGGCUACUUUAGGAUCUGCCAUCAGGUUCAAGGUUGGUUGGCUUGCUACCAGGGGCAGGAACAGGGGCUUCUCACAGAACCAUUCCAGAUGAGGCAGGAUCCAAGACUAUAUAGAGAUGGGGUUGCUUUCAGUCUGCAGCUGGGACCUUGUGGGCAAGAGCAGUGGACCCCUGCCUUCUCAAAAUGGCUCUCCUCACUCAGGCUUGCCUAGGGUUUUACAAUCUCUUCCUAGGAUCUCAAAGCUCUCACAAAGACAAUUUCAAACAUGAAUGGUGCUAGUUUGUUGUUUGUCAAGGGGGAUGUGAGCUGGGGACCUCCUAAUCUGCCAUCUUGCUGACACUAUGUCUGUAUUUUAUUUAUUUUUAAACUAGUAAUUAUUAAUAUUAUGUAAUAACAAGACUUUCUUACUAAUUACAACUAUCUGUUUUCCUACUGUAUUUUGGCAACAAAAACAGAACAAUAGUAUUAGUAACUGACUUUUCUUGGAUUUUACUCUUUUGUGUAUAUGAUCUCUUUUAAUCCUCACAGUAAACCAAGAAAACAAUGUUUUUAUUUCGCUCGUUUAUUCAGGAUGAAUUUGAAGGCAAAAGAGCGUUAAGUAGAUAGCUCAAAGUAAUAUGACCAGUAAGCAGGGGAACUGUAGUUUUUACUUAAGUAUGACUUACUUAAGAACCUGUCUUCUAGAGACAACAAGUUAUGAGAUGGUGUGAUAUACUGGACAUACAUAUAUAAAUAAACAUCAUCCCGUACUCAAGAAAUGUACCAUCUUGUGGAGAGCUGACAUCUGCAUAAAUAAUAAUAGUAAUGAAGAUUCUCUAACGUUGAAUGUAGCCAUUUGGAUAUAAUUCACGUCUCUACCUGGGUAGGUAUGUAUUUGCAACUUCUGAAGACCUAAGAAAAGUUUAAUGAGGAAAUGUGAAUUUUUUUAGUCAGCCAGGUCAGUCAUUUCUACUUUCUAGAUCAAUAGGGUUGCAGAAGGUAGGACCAGAUGAACAAUGAAGUGUGAUAAAUUCUCUUAGCGUUAGUACUAAGAAAUUAGAAAGCUGUAGAGGAAGGAAUGAAGAUCUUGCAAAGAGAUAAUUGUAUUUGAAUUUUGUAUUUGAUAAUUGCAUUUGAAUUUGAAUACCAAAAAAAUAAAACUAGUAGCUUUAAAAAAUUGGUAUUUAAAAAUUUUAUUCCUUUUAUAUAGUACUUUGGUUGGUCAUAUUUCACCAACAGAUUUUAAGUCAGUUCCAGUCAUUUUAGAUACUUGUCCUAAGUUCUUCACUCUGUUUAGGUCUAUUUUCUUUUGCAAACUAAUUUAAAUUUUACCUUAGGAUCAAUUUUAUAUUUUAAAAAAUUAUGCAUUUCUCUCAUACUUUUAUAUAUGUCUCCUCCUAACAUCUGGGAUUAUCUCAGUAUAGCCAGACAACUUUGCUUUGUCACAAUUUUCUUGUCUAAAAAUAAAAUAAUGAUUUUUCCUACACUAACUAUUCUUUCAUCCUAAGGCAAACAACAAGGAAAAUAAAUGAACUCUGUAUUGUGUAUUUAGCACUAUCCUAGGAGUGAUGGAAGGGUAAAAGGAAGUAGCAGAUAUAAGUAAUACCUUCAAGAUUUAAUAUAAAAUUAGUAAGACAAGGCACAGACAAAUUAAAUAUAAUGCUUCAAUAAGGACAGAACUUCAGAGAGAGAAGAGAUAACUGCAAAUGGAGCUAUUUAGUAGAAAUCUGGUAUGAGUGAUAAAUUUAGUUAGGCCUUCGAAAGGUGUGCAGAAUUUAGAUCAAUUGUUUCUUCAAUGAAAAGAAGAUGAAAAGCUGCAAAAAUGCAGAGAAUACAUAUGUAAGAAUAAUAUACAAAUAUCAGGUUUUGGAAGUACUCUAUUUGAAUUUAAUUAUGCAUACUUUUAUUCUCUUAAACACAUAAUUAUUUGAACUUUAUUAUGUGUUCAUUACUGUUAUAAAUAUAUUUGAAAUAAAAUAUAAAAUGAAUAAAAUUGAAAAUACAAUUGAAAAAGUUAGAUAGUAAUAACCUAUUUUAAGUUAGAAGAUAAUGAGAAAAAAAACUUAAUUUAGAAAAUAUAGUGUUUAUUCAUGCCUGCAAUCUCAGCACUUUGGGAGGCUGUGACAGGCAAAUCACCUGAAAUCAGGAGUUUGAGACCAGCCUGGUCAACAAUGGCAAAACUGUGUCUCUACUAAAAAUUCAAAAAUUAGCCAGGUGAGGUGGUGGGCACCUGUAAUCCCAGCUACUGGGUGGGCUGAGGCAGAAGAAUCACUUGAACCUGGGAGGUAGAGGUUGCAGUGAGUCGAGAUCAUGCUACUGCACUCCAGCCUGGGUGACAGCAAGACUCCUUCUCAAAAAAACAAAAACAAAAGUAGUGAGAGAACUAAUGUUUAGUAAGGCACCAAGGAAGAACUUUUCAGAUGUGUCUUCUCAUUUAAUCGCCAAUAUUAUAAGUGUGAGCAAUAAUCUCUGUCUCAUAUAAUAAUUGCAAAAAUUAACUAAAAUGAUAAUAGAAUUUCAUUCAGUUCUACCACCUAGAAAGCAUUAAGUAAACAUAGGACCCUCUUUCAGCCCCUACCACCAUAUACAUAUACAUCAACACACAUGCACACUAAUGAGAAGGACAGCACAUCUGCCAGGGGCUCUUGGCCAGCAAGAGGGUCCUAACCUGGAUAGGGGGGUGCAUGGAAGAUAAAAGAUGAGAGACAGAUGGGGUCUGGAGGGUUGAAAAGCUAUGCUUCACCAACAACUUUAUUGUGCUCAGGGUCUGGUUAUAUACGUUACAAGUAGAGUUGCUUACAUAAAACACAAAAGUUAUUUCCAUGAGAUAAAGGGGAACACAAAGUUUUACCAUAAAAUCACAAGUCUCCUUACAUCAGAUAAGUAUAAUGGGAUACUUAAGUCACAAGGUAAGUAAGUUAUGCCCAGUUGUAAAUACUUAACAAUUGUAAAUACUUAAGUCACAAGGUAAGUUACGCCCAGUUGUAAAUACUUAAGAAUUGUAAAUACUUAAGUCACAAGGUAAGUUAUGCCCAGUUGUAAAUACUUAAGAAUUGUAAAUACUUAAGUCACAAGGUAAGUGAGUCAUGCCCAGUUGUAAAUGCUUAAAAAUUGUAAAUACUCAAGUUAUUAUUUUACAACUAUUGUAGCAAGGAUCCAAAAAUGAACACAAUGAAGCAAUAAACCAUAAGGAACGGAAAGUGAACACAAUGCCUCCCAUGUCCUCAUAUCCAUAAAGUAAUGUCUGUUAAUUAUUUUGAACAGCAUAGUCCCUCUCUCGGUUCCUGCUUUCCCUUAGCUCGACUUCCCCCAACCAGGGAUCUGUGUCUGGGCUCAAGCUCACCGUAUGGCGAGGCCCAUUUCCUAGGGGCCUCACACGGGAGCAUUCCUCACACACUAAAUCCUUUAAGAGAUGAGCACACAGACAAUAAGGAGACGUGGAGAAUAUGAAGAACUUAAUUUUCAUUAAAGCCAAUAAUCAGCAAAAUAACAAUAAUAUUUGUAUUAAUAAGAAUAUUGUUAUGUAUCUUUAAUUUGUCAUUCAAUCUAAAAUAUGAGAAAACAAGCAAAAAAGUAUUUUUUAAAAAUGGACUGUAAAAUUACAAUUCCAACAAACUUGGAAAAUGUCUCCUACAAAUAUAUGAUUGCUAUGAUAUAUAGCACCUUUCAUAAUUAAUAAGAAUUAAUAGAAAGAGGCAGUACUUCCUGAGCUGAGUGGUAGAGAAAGGAAUUUGUCAGAGACAGGGUUUAACAAACCACCAAUUAGGUGGUAAAAACAUUUUUUUAAAGCAAUUAAAAUCUCUGGUAAUUAUCCUAAGGGUACACAGCAGAUGGGAAAUAAUUUAUUCAAUAAAACUCACUAAAUCCCAAUUAGAACAGUGAGAGUCUGUGCCAUUCAAACGAUGCCUUCUUCUCUUACCACCCUUGGCUCUAUUCCAGACCUGAGUUGUAGAAACUCCACACUGGGCUCCGUACUUUGGGCAUGUCAGCAUUCUCCAGAGAGACGGAGCCAAUAGGACAUGCAUAUAUAUAUAUAUACCCUUUUGUAUAUGUAUAUCCUAUUAGUUCUCCGUGUGUUGUUUGUGUAUAUCCAGAACAAGUAUACACGCACGCGCGCGCACACACACGUAUUUAUAGAGGAAGAGAAGAAGAGAGAGAAGAUAGAAGGGACUUAUUGGGGAGUUGGCUCACAUAAUUAUGGAGGCUGAGAAGUCCCACGACAGGCCUUC